GCUGGUUUCAUAUGGCUGGAUUCUUUUGUCACAGUCUGCAUUUCAUCCUAGGAUUGUCCUGAUUCCCUAAAUGAAUUGUAUUUUUUUGAGACAGGGUCUGGCAGCCUCGAACCCCUGGAGGCUUAGGUGAUCCUCCCACCUCAGCCCCCAAGUAGCUGGGACCACAGGCUCAGCUAAUUUUUACUUUUUUUUGCAGAUAUCAACCUCUCUAUGUUUCCUAGGCUGGUCUCAAACUCCUGGACUCAAGCAAUCCUCCUGCCUUAGCCUCCACAAGUGCUGGGAUUACAGGCAUGAGCAACUGCAUCCGGCUAAACAACCUCUCUUCUUGCAACACUGUUUCCUUGUGAGCUCAUUAACAUGCUAAUUACCACAUUCCACAGGAAGAUGGAUUACAGAGCAAUAAGACAGGCUGGGUUCACCCUGGAACGUGACCAGUAGUGACAGCCUCUAACAAUGACACAGGUACCGUUAUCGAUGCUGGGAGAAGAGAAAAGGACAUCAUUUUGCCCUCAGGGAGCUCAUGGUCUAACGGAGAGAGAGACAUGUGAACAACUACAACGUCUGCGGUCUAAGAAAACACUAAAUUGGAGACGUGUUCAAAGCAGUGCAGGGGAGGGAGCGGAGUGAGACUUCCGGGGUCACCCAGAAGGGCUUCCCGGCAGCCCAAGACAAUUCUUCUUCUAACACGGCCCAGGGAAGCCAAAAGAUUGGACUUCGCCACUUUAAGAUAAGCGGUUGUUGACUUUAAGACAAAAAAGGACACUUUAUAAUGACUAAAAAAAUCAAUCCAUCAGGAAUACACACCAUUAUAAACAUAAUGUACCAAACAACUGAGCACCAAAACACAUGAAGCAAAAACUGGUAACACUGAAGGGAGAAACAGACAACUUAACAAAAGUAGUUGAAGACUUCAGUGCCCAACUUUCAAUAAUGGACGGAACAGCUAGGCAGAAGAUCAGCAAGGAAACAGAAGGCUGAACAAGCUACACCUACAGACCACUGCAGAACACCCAAUCACAGAACACACAUUCUUCUGAAGAGCACAUGAAACAUUUGCCAGGAAACAUCAAAUGCUAAACCAUAAAACAAGCCUCAAUAAAAUUAAGAGGACUGAUAUCACACACAGUCUGUUCUGUGAUCAAAAUGGAAUGAAAUUAGAAAUCGAUAAUAGAAGGAAAUUUGAGAAAUUCAUAAAUAUGUGGAAAUUAAACAACUCCUAAAUACAAAUGGGUGAAAGAAGAAAUCAGAAAAUUUAACAGUACUUGAAAUAAAUGAAAACACAAUAUACAGAAAUUUAUGGGAUGCAGUGAAAACAGUACGUACAGGGAAAUGUACAGCUAUAAACACCUAUAUUAGCCAGACAUGGUGGCUCAUGCCUGUAGUCGCAGCUACUUGGAAAGCUGAGGCAGGAGGAUCAUUUGAGUCCAGAAGUUUGAGACCAGCCUGGACAACAUAGCAAGACCUCAUUCCAAACCAAAAAAAAAAAAACCCCCAAACCCCAACUAUAUUUAAAAAGAAGAAUGAUCUCAAAUCAGGAAUUGAAACUUCCACUUAAGAAACAGAAAAAAAAAGUAGCAAGCAAAAUCCAAAGUAAGCAGAAAGGAAAUAAUAAAGAUUAAAGCAGAAAUAAAUAAAACAGAAUAGAAAAAAAUCAAGGAAAAUCAAUAAAAGUAAAAAUAGAUUAUUUUAAAAGAUCAACCAAAUUUCUGAACCUUUAGCUAGACUGACCAAUAAAAAGGAGAGAAUGCAAAUUACUAAAGUCGAGAAUAAAAGAGAGAGGCCAGGUACAGUGGCUCACACCUGUAAUCCCAGCACUUUGGGAGGCUGAGGCAGGAGGAUGGAGACCGGCUUGGGCAAGAUAGCAAGACUCCAUCUCUUAAAAAAAAAAGGAAAAUUAGCCAGGCAUGGCUAGGCGUGGUGGCUCAUGCCUGUAAUCCCAACACUUUGGGAAGCUAAGGUGGGAGGAUCACUUGAGGCCAGGAGUUUCAGACCAGUGUGGGCAACAUAGUGAGAUUGCCUAAGGAGGUCAAGGCUGCAGUCAAGCUAUGAUUGAACCACUGCACUCCACCCAGAAUGACAGAGUGAGACUCUGUCUCAAAAAAAAAAAAAAGGCGGGGGGGCGAGGGAGGCCAAGGCAGGAGGAUUACUUGAGGCCAGGAGCUCAAGACCAGGCUGGGAAACAUAGUGAGACCCUAGCUCUACAAAAAAGUAAAACAAAAAUGAGCUGGGCGUGGUGGCUUAUGCCUGUAGUCCAGCUACUCAGGAGGCUGAAGCAGGAGGAUCACUUGAGCCCAGGAAUUCGGGGCUACAGUGAGCCAUGAUCAAGCCACUGAUUUCUAGCCUGGGUGACACAGCAAGACCCUGUCUCUAUAAAAUAACAACUAAGAAAGAAUAAAAGAGAGGGAAUCAAUGCUGACCUUACAAUAAUAAAAGGGAUAAUAGGGGAAUCGUUUAAAUUGUAUGCCAACAAAUCCAAUAACUAAGAUGAGAUGCAGAAAUUCCUACAAAUAAACAAACUAUCGAAAAACUUUCCACAAAGAAAAUGUCAGACACAGACGGUUUCAAUUGUAAUUCCACCAAAUGUUUAAAGAAUUAAUACAAAUUCUUCACAAACUUUUCCAAAAAUAGAAGAUGGAACAUUUCUAACUCAUUCUGUGAGGGGCCAAUAUAUUCUGAUGUUAAAACCAGACAAAGACAUCACAAUAAAACUGCAGAUCAAUAGCCCCUAAAAAAUAAAGAUGAAAAAAUCCUCAACAGAGUACUAGCAAUCCAAUUCCAGCAACUUUUUUUUUUUUUUUUGGAGAUGAAGUCUUGCUUUGUCGCCAGGCUGGAGUGCAGGGGCGCAAUCUUGGCUCAC
rnacentral:lncRNA from 10 species